rnacentral:pre_miRNA from 1 species
AGUGAGAUAGCUGGGUUAAAUGAUGGUUCAAUUCCACGUUAUCCAAGUAAUCUCCAAACUGCUUUCCAUAUUGGCUGCACCAAUUUGCAGUCCCACCAGCAAU